GGGGUUGUGGCUCAGAGGUAGAGUGCUUGCUUAGCAUGCAUGAGGCACUGGGUUGGAUCCUCAGCACCA
rnacentral:tRNA from 1 species